rnacentral:rRNA from 1 species
UAAUGGGUCAGCGACUUAUAUUCAGUGGCAAGGUUAACCAUCUAGGGGAGCCGUAGGGAAACCGAGUCUUAACUGGGCGUUCAGUCUCUGGAUAUAGACCCGAAACCAGGUGAUCUAGCCAUGGGCAGGUUGAAGGUUGAGUAACAUCAACUGGAGGACCGAACCGACUAAUGUUGAAAAAUUAGCGGAUGACUUGUGGCUAGGGGUGAAAGGCCAAUCAAACCUGGAGAUAGCUGGUUCUCCCCGAAAGCUAUUUAGGUAGCGCCUCGGACGAAUACUACUGGGGGUAGAGCACUGUUAAGGCUAGGGGGUCAUCCCGACUUACCAACCCUUUGCAAACUCCGAAUACCAGUAAGUACUAUCCGGGAGACACACGGCGGGUGCUAACGUCCGUCGUGGAGAGGGAAACAACCCAGACCGCCAGCUAAGGUCCCAAAUUACUACUAAGUGGGAAACGAUGUGGGAAGGCUCAGACAGCCAGGAUGUUGGCUUAGAAGCAGCCAUCAUUUAAAGAAAGCGUAAUAGCUCACUGGUCGAGUCGGCCUGCGCGGAAGAUGUAACGGGGCUAAGUAGUAAACCGAAGCUGCGGCAAUAUACUUUUGUAUAUUGGGUAGGGGAGCGUUCUGUAAGCGGUUGAAGGUGUGUGGUAACGCAUGCUGGACGUAUCAGAAGUGCGAAUGCUGACAUGAGUAACGAUAAAGGGGGUGAAAAACCUCCUCGCCGGAAGACCAAGGGUUCCUGUCCAACGUUAAUCGGGGCAGGGUAAGUCGACCCCUAAGGCGAGGCCGAAAGGCGUAGUCGAUGGGAAACGGGUUAAUAUUCCCGUACUUCUUACAAUUGCGAUGGGGGGACGGAGAAGGCUAGGUGGGCCUGGCGACGGUUGUCCAGGUUCAAGUGCGUAGGCUUAAGAGUUAGGUAAAUCCG